AAGCCCCAGCAGCCAGGCCUCCGGCGGGAAACCUGACUUGCACACGUACUGCCCAUGCAUAGACUUGAACACGCAUGUGCACAGACAAACACGAAGGAUCCAUUUGCACAGAACAGACAGUCGAGAAGACGACACAACACAGGGUUAUGGACUCCUGCUUAAGGAAGAUAAGGACAAAAACUGAGACACCAAAAAUCCACGAUUCGGGGCUACUGAGGUGACAGGUGACAACGUAAGAAGCCAAAGUGAAGACGUUAUUCUGCACGUUACAAGUGACAAAUGCUAAGGGCACGUGUGAAAGCAGGAAACUAGAUGAGGCAUAAUUCAAGCUGCCUCCCAAUUCAGUGAUCUAUGUGAAAAAUUCCCGAGGAGAUGUUUUCUGUAUUGAUUAAAGAGCCUAAUCAGAAACAUCCUACCACAUCCUCCUACGAUAGCAGAAGAAAAGUCAUUCAUUCAACAAAUGUUAGCAGAUAUCAACUACAUACCAGGCAGUGUGCCAGAUCUGAGGCUCUGAAAGAGAGAAGGGUGUAGGACUCUUUGGUUCCAAUUUUCCAGUAACAGUAACUAGAAGAUUCUCCUGAGAACCACUUGAGGCUAACCGAUUACCACCCAGAGGACGUAUAAAACACUGAACAACUGAACAGCAUGUUCCAGGAGGUAAAAGAUGAAAACUGUG